UGAAGGACCCCCAACCUGGGAAGAGCCUGGAGCUGGACCCUCGGAACAGGCAGGAUGAAGACCCCCAGGGAGUGACGUACGCCCAGGUGAAACACUCAAGACCAAGACCCAGGCAGGGAAUGGCCACCUCUCCUUCCUCCCUGUCGGAGGAAUUGCUGGACACAAAGGGCAGACAAGCAGAAGAGGACAGACAGAUGGACAGUCAGGCUGCACCUGACGCCCCCCAGGAUGUGACCUACGCCCAGCUGAACCUCUUGGCCCUUAGACGGCAGACAAGUGCACCCCCAUCCUCCCCAUCUGAGGAGCCCCGAGAAGAGCCCAGCUUGUACGCUACUCUAGCCAUACAC